rnacentral:rRNA from 1 species
GACGAACGCUGGCGGCGUGCUUAACACAUGCAAGUCGAACGAUGAAGCACCAGCUUGCUGGUGUGGAUUAGUGGCGAACGGGUGAGUAACACGUGAGUAACCUGCCCCUCACUCUGGGAUAAGCCUGGGAAACUGGGUCUAAUACUGGAUACGACCGAUCUCCGCAUGGAGUGUUGGUGGAAAGUUUUUGUGGUGGGGGAUGGACUCGCGGCCUAUCAGCUUGUUGGUGGGGUAGUGGCCUACCAAGGCGACGACGGGUAGCCGGCCUGAGAGGGCGACCGGCCACACUGGGACUGAGACACGGCCCAGACUCCUACGGGAGGCAGCAGUGGGGAAUAUUGCACAAUGGGCGAAAGCCUGAUGCAGCGACGCCGCGUGAGGGAUGACGGCCUUCGGGUUGUAAACCUCUUUCACCAGGGACGAAGCUAACGUGACGGUACCUGGAGAAGAAGCACCGGCUAACUACGUG